rnacentral:rRNA from 1 species
UACGUAGGUGGCAAGCGUUGUCCGGAUUUACUGGGCGUAAAGAGCGCGCAGGCGGCCGAGUAAGUCGAAUGUGAAAGCCCCCGGCUCAACUGGGGAAGGUCAUUCGAUACUGUUCGGCUAGAAGAUAGGAGAGGGAAGCGGAAUUUCAGGUGUAGUGGUGAAAUGCGUAGAUAUCUGAAGGAACACCAGUGGCGAAGGCGGCUUUCUGGCCUAUUCUUGACGCUGAGGCGCGAAAGCUAGGGGAGCGAACGGG